rnacentral:rRNA from 1 species
GACAGAGGGUGCAAACGUUGUUCGGAAUUACUGGGCGUAAAGGGCUCGUAGGCGGCCAACUAAGUCAGACGUGAAAUCCCUCGGCUUAACCGGGGAACUGCGUCUGAUACUGGAUGGCUUGAAUCCGGGAGAGGGAUGCAGAAUUCCAGGUGUAGCGGUGAAAUGCGUAGAUAUCUGGAGGAAUACCGGUGGCGAAGGCGGCAUCCUGGACCGGCAUUGACGCUGAGGAGCGAAAGCUAGGGGAGCAAACGGG